AGACAGCAGUGCAGACACCACAAACACAGAUACGAGCCCAGACGAUCACUGAUAUGACUGCUGAAAAGAGCCACACACUGCAGGUCAUUGACUUCAUGGGCGCUGAGCCGCCUGUGGAUGUCUGUAAACCCUCAGACUUCACACAAAGUCUCUGUCAGAAAGUCAGUGAAAAGGAUGCUGAAUGCAAACAUUUGAAGAUCCAUGGUGAGACUGGAAGAGAUGGAGAACAUCAAAGUGUUAGCUCUGAACAACAGGAAGUUUCAAAUUUGUGUCAAAACGAGGUCCAAAGCUCAGACGGAGACACAGGAUCACUAAGUCAGCCUCCCACCAAAAAAGCAGGGGAGCUUUCUGCUGGACUUUCUGAACACCUGAAGCAGCCAAGUACCUCACAGACAGACGAUGCCGCAUCAGCUGGUCACUCAUAUGGUUUUCACAGCGCUGAAAACUUGGGAUCAUGUCAGACACAUACAGAAACACGUACUCCUUCUGAUGUUAUUUCAGAUAUGACGCAAACAGAUGAAAUCUUUGAUGUACCUGUGAGUGAAAAACUGGCAGAACCUGAGCAGCUGCUGGAAAGCUUAGAGCAGAAAGAUGGGCAGCGGAAGUCUGUGGUAACUGUUGAAGGAAAGGGUGAUCCAAGUGUAGAGAACAGAAGAAAAGAUGAAUCAAGUGUAGAUACGAAUGUCUAUCAAACACCUAUGGAAGAAUCCCACUUAAAAGAUGGCAAUGUUAAUAUUACGAUGGGUGCCAUAACCCUUGAUUCUGAGGUGAAAAGUGAGCAUAUAAAGGACACAGAAGAUACAAAGAAGACUAAAAGUGAAACAGAUCCGAAGCUGCCACUCGUUACAAGUCUGGGUCACAAGCAGCCUGAGUUAGGAGAGAAGCUGCUGAGUGAUUGUGGCAAGUCGUCUCUGCCCAGCAAAAAGACUUACAGGCCAUUAUUUGAGUGGGCCGCUGCCGAGAGAAGAAAGUCAAACUCCAGAACAAAGUCAGAUGUCACCAUAGCGCACCAGCCAAUCCAGGGAUCUUCUCUGUCUGAGCAGAAUACAACUGCUGGAUUCCCAGGACAUCCUGCCAGCACAAUAAUACCCAAGCCCCUCAAAAGCAAACACGACAAUGGUGGUGGUUUAUCAUUUCACUAAGGAGCACAGAAACUGCUCUGAUGCAUGACUAGGAACAUCUUACACAGUGAAUUCAUUGUCCGUCUGCGUUUCUUACCAUUACUAAUCAUCAUUCAUUCUUGCUUUCUUGCUGUUCUUGCCAUCUCACCUCAUUCCUCUUAGUCCCCUUGGUGAUUAUGAGGGCGUCAGACCUGUUGAAUGCCUCCAGUGUCUGUGGGACCGCACCUUCCCUGAGGAGAAAGCAGCAGGGACUCUGGGAAGCAGUGCAGGAGACCUGCAGAGAGAGAACAGCAGCAGAUACGGAUGGCAGAGCUCCUCCGCCAAGCUGUUCUUUUCCAGCCUCCAGCACAGGCAGCAAACUGUCAUGGCAAACCACUGCAGAGUGUAGCAGAGCUCCUACCUUAGCUGCAGGACCUAGUUCAGAGUCCAACUGGGAACUCUCCUGCUCCCAGGAGAGGGACGAUCAACAGGAAUCAUUCAGGGCGCAGAUCUCAAAAAUCGAACAGUUCCUCAAGACAGAGAGACUCCGUCUGCCCAAAAGACAACGAACUGAACCAAAUCUGUAGAAACUGCUGGUCGUCUUUAUUCGCUGUCCUAGAACCAGGCUCGGGGAGGGACGCCCAUCUGCUGUGACCCGUUGAAGGUUGAGG
ensembl:lncRNA